UAGUGCAUAACAGGACCAGGGAUGUGACACAGAACUCCGAAGUUAAGCGUGCUUGGGCGGGAGUAGUACUAGGAUGGGUGACCUCCUGGGAAGUCCUCGUGUUGCAUUCC
rnacentral:rRNA from 1 species